rnacentral:rRNA from 1 species
GAGUGAAUCUGCCGAGCACCGGAGCUGUCCCUCAGAUCCAACCACAACAGUUGGUUGAUUUAUCCCGAUCUACUUAGCCAAUUUCAUUGCAGGGUUACUUUUGCCUUUGAUAUUUCGACCUUCUUUGUGCUUCAAUUAUCCAGGAGUCACGGCGGGGGCGGGGAAGGAACAACAGUGACUUGCCCAAACCCCGCAUCGGAAUGGAUUGGCGCGGCCGGCGGUAGGAAGCGGCCGCGUACAGGAGCAAGACGACGAGGAGGCGCGCGUCAGCCAUGGAGGAGCUGCCUGUCGAAGCGGUUGCCACGGAGGAGCAGAAGCUACAGAUCAGACGGCAGUAGUGGGUCGUCGCGCCGUCGACGAGAGGAAGCCGGGCUCCUCCCCAAUCCUCUCCUGCCGCCGAGCUCGCUGCCGGCGCUGCUCUCUCCGUCGCGCUGCCUUCUACUGCUGUUCCAGGUCCGGCGGCUCCGGCGGCAAGGUGUCCCCUCCUCGUCUACAACAACCACUACAACAGGGCGGUCGAGAGUAUGUUCGAUGGUGCUGAUUGGCCUAUGUGGUAUGGAUGAUUCAUAUUACUGCAUUGCCAAGCCCUGCAACACAUGGAUUCAUGGGCAGAGAAGGCCCAAGAACUGUUUAUUCAGUUCCAAGAAUGGAUUUCAUACAAUCUUGGAUUCGCAACCAUUAUUCUGUUCCUAAUUUUCUGGUCGCGAUCAUGCCAUUUCCAAUUUGCAAUAAGGAUUAUUCACUUUGCGAAGGUCAAUAAAAACAAGUAGCAGGUGCCGGCGGUUGAGGCAUCUUUGACUGGUACACACGAGCCAAUUUCUCCCGUUAGAGUGGACGACAGACCAGGCAAGCAGCGAUGACGCCGGACAGGCCGCUCUUGCACCACCAGCCUCCCUUCAGGGUAGUUACCCACGGGCACAUACUUCUGCCGUUUAUUCUUACUUGUGAUUCCACUCGUUGUGACCAUGGCUCGAUCCAUGUUGUGGCACAAUUAUUAUUUUUGUUUAGUCGUGAUGGAUCGUCUUGGCUUGCUUUUGGCACACCUGAUUCCACUACCUUGUGUUGUUGCUUGGGCCAAUUUCUGUGUACUGAACAUAUUUAUAUCAAUGUUGUGCUUCUGAUAUAAUAUUGCUAUAUUAUACUGGUGAUUUCCAAUGAUUAC